UGGGGAAUCUUGGACAAUGGGGGCAACCCUGAUCCAGCCAUGCCGCGUGAGUGAUGAAGGCCUUAGGGUCGUAAAGCUCUUUCGCCUGUGAAGAUAAUGACGGUAGCAGGUAAAGAAACCCCGGCUAACUCCGUGCCAGCAGCCGCGGUAAUACGGAGGGGGUUAGCGUUGUUCGGAAUUACUGGGCGUAAAGCGCACGUAGGCGGACCAGAAAGUUGGGGGUGAAAUCCCGGGGGCUCAACCCCGGAACUGCCUCCAAAACUAUUGGUCUAGAGUUCGAGAGAGGUGAGUGGAAUUCCAAGUGUAGAGGUGAAAUUCGUAGAUAUUUGGAGGAACACCAGUGGCGAAGGCGGCUCACUGGCUCGAUACUGACGCUGAGGUGCGAAAGUGUGGGGAGCAAAACAGGAUUAGAUACCCUGGUAGUCCACACCGUAAAACGAUGAAUGCCAGUCGUCGGAUAGCAUGCUAUUCGGUGACACACCUAACGGAUUAAGCAUUCCGCCUGGGGAGUACGGUCGCAAGAUUAAAACUCAAAGGAAUUG
rnacentral:rRNA from 1 species